AGAGUUUGAUCCUGGCUCAGAUUGAACGCUGGCGGCAUGCCUUACACAUGCAAGUCGAACGGCAGCGCGGGAGCAAUCCUGGCGGCGAGUGGCGAACGGGUGAGUAAUAUAUCGGAACGUGCCUUAGAGUGGGGGAUAACUAGUCGAAAGACUAGCUAAUACCGCAUACGACCUACGGGUGAAAGUGGGGGAUCGCAAGACCUCAUGCUCUUAGAGCGGCCGAUAUCUGAUUAGCUAGUUGGUGGGGUAAAAGCCUACCAAGGCGACGAUCAGUAGCUGGUCUGAGAGGACGACCAGCCACACUGGGACUGAGACACGGCCCAGACUCCUACGGGAGGCAGCAGUGGGGAAUUUUGGACAAUGGGGGCAACCCUGAUCCAGCAAUGCCGCGUGUGUGAAGAAGGCCUUCGGGUUGUAAAGCACUUUUGUUCGGAAAGAAAUCGCUCUGGCUAAUAUCCGGAGUGGAUGACGUACCGGAAGAA
rnacentral:rRNA from 1 species